rnacentral:rRNA from 1 species
UACGUAGGGGGCAAGCGUUAUCCAGAUUUACUGGGCGUAAAGCGCGUGUAGGCGGCUGGUUAGGUGUGAUGUGAAAUCUUCCGGCUCAACCGGAAAACUGCAUUGCAAACCGGCCUGGCUAGAGUGCAGGAGAGGGAAGCGGAAUUCCAGGUGUAGCGGUGAAAUGCGUAGAUAUCUGGAGGAACACCGGUGGCGAAGGCGGCAUCCUGGACCGGCAUUGACGCUGAGGCGCGAAAGCCAGGGGAGCAAACGGG